GGCGUCUUUAGUACGUGUUCGUCAUUGUUUCGUGCGUGUCGUCGUUACGCGAAUCUUCCUCGAUCGAAUUUCGUACGACAAACAUAUAUAGUCAUGUUCUCCCGUUUUCCAUUAUAAAAUUUACCAGGGAACGCGCUGAGAGUCGGUAUGUCCGAAUCCGUCAAAGUAGCAGUAAGAUGUCGUCCUAUGUCCAGCAAGGAAUUACAGCAAGGAUGUCGGGACGUCGUGACAAUCGAUUCACUGACGAAAUCUUGCACCCUGGAAGGUUUCGCCGGUGGAAGUGGAAAAAUUUAUCAAUUUGAUGCCGCGUUUGGUCCAUCCGCUACGACGGAAUCGGUUUACGAAGAUGUGGGUUCGGUUAUCGUCGAGGCUGUCUUGGAGGGUUAUAAUGGCACCGUGUUUGCUUAUGGACAAACAGGCUGUGGAAAAUCAUUCACCAUGCGAGGAUUCAUCGAACGAACGCUGGAACAUUUGUUCGAGGCGACCUCCACUGCCAGCUCCGAGACAAGAUACUUGGCGUUGCUGAGCUAUCUUGAAAUCUACAAUGAACGAUUGCGGGAUCUGUUGCAAGACGAUACCGGGGAGACUCUGACCCUGAAGGAGGAUCCUACAAAAGGCACAUAUGUCGCAGGGGGUCUGCGCGAGGUCACCGUCAAAGAUGCAACCGAAUGCGCCGCGUUGGUCCAGCAAGGGGAUCAAAGAAGAGCAGCAGCCGCGACGAAAAUGAACGCUGCCAGUUCGAGAAGUCACGCCGUUUUGACUCUGUCACUCGAAGCAAUCGCCAUUAAUGACGAUGAUAAACGUGGAAACGGUAUCAGAAGAGGACGGCUGCAUCUGGUCGAUCUUGCAGGAUCCGAAAGACAAGCUAGGACCGGAGCUACAGGUGAUCGUUUGAAGGAAGCUGCCAGUAUCAAUCUAAGCUUGUCGGCAUUGGGAAAUGUCAUUAGCGCGUUGGCUGCCGGAAAUGGAAGACAUGUCCCUUAUAGAGAUAGCAAACUGACGAGACUUCUACGAGAUAGUCUGGGUGGAAAUGCCAGAACCCUGAUGAUCGCCUGCGUGAGUCCAAGCGAUAUCGAUGCUGAAGAGACUCUCAGCACCUUGCGCUAUGCCGCCCGAGCUCGUUGUAUCAAAAAUAAGCCUAUCGUUAAUGAAGAUCCCAAAGACGCUCUUCUCAGACAAUAUCAGUUAGAACUUCAACGUUUGAAAAAAAUGCUCAAUUCUAGUGAUCAAUUCGUUGGAUUGGACUUCCAGAAGGAUACAGAGGAAGAUGGAGAAAAUUUUAAGGAGAAACAAUACUCCGAAGAGGUGGAGAAGCUGAAAAGAGAAUGCGAAAAUUCAAAUUUAUCGGCCCAGAAACUAAAGGAAGAACUAGAAGCCCUAAAAUCUUGGUAUGAAUCGGGAUUAAAUAAAACUGAAAAUUUCAAUCAAGGAAAUGAAGAGAUGAAUGAAUCGGAUAAAGAACGACUAGAAAGAAGAAAGAAGAAGAGAGAGGCAGCUUUGCAAGAUGUAUUAAAAAGAUUGGAAAAGCUGACAAUCGGCGGAGAGGAAAUCAGGAAUGUGGAACUGAAGAAGAGAAGAGAAAAAAGAAAGAAGAAGCUAGAAGCUCUUGUAGGGGCGUUAGAAGCUAAUGAUGCUAAUGGUAGUGUCUUCCAAGUAUAUGGCCAACUCAGAUCGACAGAAGACGCGCUGAAAAGAAUGGCGAAGCGAGUGAAACAACUAGAAGCCGAAGCGGCGGAUCUCCAGGCAUCUUGGGAUGCCGAGCGUCGCGAGCUUCUUCGAAGGGAAUUAUUGACAUCUCAGGUGUGCGAUCUCAUGAUACCUUACCUUCGUCCGGGCUGUCCUUUUCGAGAUAUCACGGCGAUGAGGGAGGCGGCAACAUGGUGCGACGAAUUAGGACGAUGGCGAUUGCUAGACGUGUCUCAUCCUCACAUUCCCCUACCUCCAGCCGCCCCUAUAACACGGGGGGAUGUUCUUCUGACCGGAAAUUCCUCUAAGGCGGAUCUCAAUAAUAAUAGUAAUAACAGUGAUGAGGACGACAGUGAUCAAGAUAAUGAGAGAAAUAGCAAAAGCACGGAAAAGAAAAAGGGUUGGGAUCUCGUGGACAGUUACUUCCGGAGGAGUAGAGUGGAUACUCUCUUAGCACACGCGAGAGAAGCAAAAACCUUUGAACCGGGGAAUCGUCUGAGCAAAUCCGGUGGCUCGGAAGACUCGAUGUCAAUCGCGGGUAGCGGCAGCUAUCUGCAGCUAAACGCGCUAAAUUUACAAAGUAGCGCGCCGGUGCGUGGCGACAACAGUCCGAAUAGAUCGACGAUUCGCGGUGGUUGGAUCCACGAUGAACAAACUCACCGGCCUAUCUAUAAUUCUUUUCUCAACACCACGAAGAAGCCUCCUCCAAGGAUACUCGAAGCCUUACCUUCGUAUCCCCACGACGAUGUGUCUUUCAAAUCACCUGCUCGCCUUGGCAAAGAGGAAUUGAAAAUAUCUGAACGAGGAAAUCUACCGUCGAAAUUGCUACGUAAUAACGAUACCUUUACUAGUCAUCAUCCAUUCCACGUCGAGCAAGCCUACUCGCCAACUUAUUGAUGAAACAUUUGAUAACAUUUAACAAAUCAUCAGACCUUGGCUGUGUGUAUUACAAAAGAUUAGGAAGAUUAUAUGGAAAAUGAGUUAUAAGGUUCAAGAAACAGAGGUCAAGCUGAAAGAAAUGUCAAGGCGACGCCGACAAUAUUGAAGAUUAAUGAAUAAUGGAUCAAACUUUAAUCUGUGAGACGCUGUGCCUUCGAUCUCUUACAAAAGGUGACUUCAGAAUUUUCUCUAAACUUUCGCGCUUAUUUAAAGUUUAUAUUAAAAAAAGUAAACAUCUGCAAGAUAAUAAAUUUAAAAUGAGCGUGUUACAUGAGAAAUGGGUAGAAUUUACAUAAGAUGUCAUUAGAAGUUUGUUUAAUAGUGAUAUUUUUAUAUCUUUCCCAUAAUAAUGUACCUGAGAUUUGCCUCUUUUAAAACGUACCUAAAGUAUAAAAUUGAGGAACAAGUUAGGAAACAAUUUUAAGACUGCUAUAUAUAGGAUAAUUCGUCAAAAAAGCAGUCAGAUAUUAUAGCUCUAUAUCAUAAAUAUUAUAUUAAUAUUAUUUUUAUUACAAGAUUAUGUAAAUUAUAAAUAAAUAGAAAACAAUCGAUAGUUUUGCAGAUUGUUUAUCGUAUUCACGAUCUUUGGAUACAUUGUUGAAAUACUCAAUUUAUCAUAUUGUUGGAUAUAUAAUAGCUAAACGAUUGCUGGUUUCUUAUAUCGAUCGUUUUUCGUCCUUAUGCUCGCCAAAAAAGGACCCAAAUUACAAAAACGUUAAUCUUUAUACACAUAAUAGAUUAGAAAGCGAUGUGUAUAAAGAUGUAUAUAUAUUUAUAAAUAAAGAAAUGUAUAUUCAUAAGUAAUAUUAUAAGAGAUGCUGUUAAUAUGUAACAUAAUACAAAAUGUUCCAAAGAAGUUUUAAUUAAAAGGAUAUUUGUGAUUCAA